rnacentral:rRNA from 1 species
GACAGAGGGGGCAAGCGUUGCUCGGAAUUACUGGGCGUAAAGGGCGCGUAGGCGGGAUGGCAAGUCGGUCGUGAAAUCCCUCGGCUCAACCGAGGAACGUCGAUCGAUACUGCUGUUCUUGAGGAUUGCAGAGGAGACUGGAAUUCCCGGUGUAGCGGUGAAAUGCGUAGAGAUUGGAAAGAACACCGAUGGCGAAGGCAGGUCUCUGGGCCACUACUGACGCUGAGAAGCGAAAGCGUGGGGAGCGAACAGG